UGUGCUGUGCUGUGCUGGCUUCAGCACUGCCAGCUCUGUUCCCUGCCCAGGUUUGUGUUGAGGAAGAAGGGCCCUGCUGGAAUUCUGGAAUUCUGCUCUCCUCAGGCAUCACCACCCUGGAGCUGCUCUCACUCGAGGCUUCUUCCCCCCAUCACAUCACUGGCCAGCAAUGCCUUGGGGAGGGGACAGCGACACUGAGCCCAAGAAAUGCUGUCAGCCACAUUUCCCAGAGGGACGGCUCUCUCUGUUCUUUGUGUGGGAUUGGUCUCUGCUGCCCCUUUCAGGGAACAUCUGUAAGCACAUCACAUCUGUAAAAAAAAGGCAGGAAGGUUGAUCUGCUGGACCAAGAAGUUGUCCUGAAUUUCCUCACAUCUCCAGAUGCCUGAUGUUUGCCAGCUUCUGCUCCUGGCCAGCCACCGUUUGUGUUCUCUGGCCACCUGGGACCUGAUCUCCUUCCUCUGACACUUCCACAGAGCAGCCCCUGGGAGAGACUUUCUGGCUCUGAUUUUAGCACUCCAAGCACAGGGCCUGGGAUGGCUUUCCCAGGAUCCUGGCAGAUUUAAAGGCCAAUAUUGCUCCCAUGGACCCACAUCCCACACUGAGGGUGUCCUUGUGAGUGUGACCCUGGAGCCAGGUUCUCAUGCAGGACACCACGGUGAAACUCCCUUCUGGCACCCAGGCCUUGGACCUACAAAGUCUGUGUGGUUGGUGUCUUUGAACAUUCCCUGGGACUGUUUCCUGAAGAGAGAGCAGCAUUUGGCCCUUGGCUUUUAGGAGAGUUUCCCAACACCAACCUCAAAUCAAAUGGAAACACUUUCCUCCCCCUUCAGACCAGGACAAAGACUGAGGGUGGGGUUUUAAGGCUAAUGAAGCUUUUGGUGUGGUUUUUUUUCCUCCUGUCAGCUGAGGAGGUUCCUGGCACUAUGAUAAAAGUCCCCAGUGCCCACUGGGGCUCCUCUCCUUGUGGUGAACAUGCUCCUGAGAGACACAAAGGUUUCCCCAGAAGCACAUUCCCAUUCCAUGGCUCCAAUUAGAGAAGAUUUUCUGUGUUUGUUGCUAACAAUGUUCUUCCUUGCCUUUGGCUCAGCAGGAACCUGAUUAGUGACUUCCCAGGGUCCUGGAAACCCGAGGGAAUUAAUUUGCCUUUAAUUUUGUCCAAGCUGAUACUUAGGGGAGCAGCUGGGAACAUUGUAAAGCAGCUCCUGGCAGUGAAGAGUCCCAGCAAAGCAUUUCCCAGAGCCUGGUAGUGAUGCUCAGGCUGCCCACCUGAAGCCAGCCCAUGCAGGGAGCUGCAGCAUUAACCAGGGAAAGACAUGGCCCUGCUCCUCUUCCUUUUCCUUACAACAGCUGGGUUUGGCCAGCUGGGCUUUGGUGGUGCCUGGUGACCACACUGUGUUUGUGAUACUUUGCUGCUGUUCACAGCUUUUUCCAGUGUUUAUUGACAGCCAGACACAUCCUUCAUUCUCUUGGUGGGUGCUCAUCCCAGCUUCCCAGGAUCUGGGCUGUCCUGACAUGCCAGCAUGUUGUGCAGGAUUGGGUGAAGCAGUGCCUUGCCCUGUAACUCAGGGACCCCUGUGCCAUAGGAACCACACUAGCACUGCUUGCCUGGGGACUUCUAAAGCACUUUGAGCUCCUUGGAAGGGCCAGGGUAGGUGCAAACCUGUUCUGUUACUCUGGGGUUAAAG